AUGAUAUCUGCUGGCGAUUGCAAAGACCAGAUCUCUGAUCCCGGCUCUUUAAGUCUGGCCAAACCAAGCAGCCCAGUUCCUUUGGCAAACGUCAUUUGUUGGUGCCUGCUACUGAUUACUUUUCCCAGGACAGUAAGUAGACUUCAUCUUCUUUCUUUCAGGUUUCUCAAAUGGUGGGCAGCAGCCUCACUUGUGUUUAGUAUACUGAAAGCAGUCACAAGGGGUUAUAAGGCCAAAAGAGAUAAAGAUACAUGGGGAAUUUGCCAUGAGUUGGAUAGAAUGCUGUGUAAGAAAGGGGUACGCAGUCUGUUUCAUAUGGGCAGGUAGUUAAAGGUAUAUGGAAAGCUUGAUUUUGAAUUCCUUUUUGGAGGAAGUCUAAGAAGGUUUCUUCCAAAACCUAAAUUAUUUUACUUCCAAAUUUAUCCUAAUUUUUUUUUUUUUUCUUUCCUUGUGUGGGAAAGAUGGAGGCAAAAGUACAAUUUUGCUAACUUCUCACGUAUCACUGUGCAAGGAGUACCAAAGAGAUCUGCAGUGGGUUCAAAGAAGCAUAUAUAUAUUCAUAGGGAGUACUUCCAAAUAGUGUUAUGAGCUGCAUGUGAAGUUUGAACUGAUUCUAAGAUAAGAACCAACAAAAUAAUUGUUUACAGAAGGUGUUGGACAGUCUCAUUCAAAUACUCACCUGAUCUCUGCAUACUACUGUAACAAAAGGUAUACGCAUGGUUCAAGGAGAUGAAGAAGCCUUUGGGGUGACCUGCUGUUGUGAAAGGAAGGAAACAAAAUGAUUUGGCUUUUCUUCUCCAAGGUACCUAUUGUCAUUUCUAUAGAACUCGACACCUCACACCGAAUAGCAGGGAGGCUGUAUGUGCUAGAAGGAGGCUGGGAUGUAGAAGCAGACAAUUUUUUUU
rnacentral:lncRNA from 1 species